rnacentral:rRNA from 1 species
ACUCAAAGGAAUUGACGGGGGCCCGCACAAGCGGUGGAACAUGUGGUUUAAUUCGAAGCUACGCGAAAAACCUCACCAGGGCUUGACAUACAAGAAGUAGUGAAGUGAAAGCGGAACGACCCGUUAAGUCGGGAGCUUGUACAGGUGCUGCAUGGCUGUCGUCAGCUCGUGUCGUGAGAUGUUGGGUUAAGUCCCGCAACGAGCGCAACCAUUAUCCUUUGUUGCCACUUUUACUGGGCUUGCUCAGUAAGAAGCACUCUAAGGAGACUGCCCGGGAUAACCGGGAGGAAGGUGGAGAUGACGUCAAGUCAGUACGGCCCUUAUGCCCUGGGCGACACACGUGUUACAAUGGGUGGGACAAAGGGUUGCCAACCAGCGAUGGGGAGCUAAUCUCAAAAACCCACCCCCAGUUCAGAUCGGAGUCUGCAAUUCGACUCCGUGAAGCCGGAAUCGCUAGUAAUGGGAGAUCAGCACGCUCCCGUGAAUACGUUCCCGGGCCUUGUACACACCGCCCGU